AGUCGAGGGGUACAGUCCCGCUUCGGCGGGAGCUGACGACCGGCGCACGGGUGAGUAACGCGUAUGCAACUUUCCUGUAACUGGAGGAUAGCCCCUGGAAACGGGGAUUAAUACUGCGUAAUACCUAAAUACCGCAUGGUAUUAAUGUCAAAUCUACGGAGGUUACAGAUGGGCAUGCGUGCCAUUAGCUAGAUGGUAAGGUAACGGCUUACCAUGGCAAUGAUGGCUAGGGGUUCUGCAAGGAAUGCCCCCCACACUGGUACUGAGACACGGACCAGACUCCUACGGGAGGCAGCAGUGAGGAAUAUUGGUCAAUGGAGGCAACUCUGAACCAGCCAAGCCGCGUGAAGGAAGACUGUCCUAUGGAUUGUAAACUUCUUUUGUGGCAGAAUAAACUACCGUACUUGUACGGUAUUGCAUGUAUGCCAUGAAUAAGCAUCGGCUAACUCCGUGCCAGCAGCCGCGGUAAUACGGAGGAUGCAGGCGUUAUCCGGAUUUAUUAGGUUUAAAGGGUGUCCAGGCUGCCUGGUAAGUCAGGGGUGAAAGUCCGGUUGCUCAACGAUCGAAUUGCCUUUGAAACUGUCAGGCUCGACUAUGGAUGCGGGUAGGCGGAAUGUGUAACUGUAGCGGUGAAAUGCAUAGAUAUUACACAGAACAC
rnacentral:rRNA from 1 species